ACGCUCACUUUGGCAGCACGUGUACUAACAUUGGAACGAUGCAGAGAAGCUUACUUAGCAUGGCUCUGCAUGAGGAUGACGUGCAAAUUUGUGAACCAUUCCAUAUUUUA